CCCUGCCAUGGUUGUUAAAUAUCUCUGGACCAAGAGAGAAGGUGGAGGGAGCAUGGAAUGGGAAAUUGUUGGGAAAAUCUUUUAAAACAGUCAGUUUAUUCUGUCCUAUGAUAUCUAUUCUGUUUAUAGUUGUUUAAAUGUUUUCAGUGGCGUGUGAGCUUCUUAAAAUAGAGCAUUCCAUGUUGAUAACAAGUUCGUCUUUGUGUUCGUGGCCGUGGACAGGUUGAGGGGAAGCAGGGCAAGGGCACCCUGUGAGGAGGGAAUCGCAAUAGCUGGGCUGUGGUAUUUGUAGCUGGGUGAUCAGACCACAAACCCGGUCUGCCGUGCGUGGGACACCCAGCAGACACCAAGCAGAUGACCUGAUGGGAAGGCAAGUCACAGCCUGGACAGCAGACCCCUGGCAAAGAACCUCCAAAGGAGAUUGUCAUGGAAGGCAAGCUACCAGUUCUGUGCGAACCAGGAAAUGCAGGAGGGAAGGCCAUUGGAGGGUUCACACUUUACUGAAGGAUUUUCACACUCGUGGAGAAAGCGAAUUUAAUCUGGUGGAGAAAUUAGUCAACAGGCUGAGCCAGGAAGAAGCCAAGGAGAGAUUGUGCAGGCCAGCAGCAGUUGGAAGCCGGCAGGCAAGAGCCACGGGGCAGUGAUCCCUGUCAGCAAUUACUUAGCUGCUUAAACAGAGUCUUAAAAAAAAAAAAAAAAAAACAAA